rnacentral:rRNA from 1 species
AGUGAGGAAUAUUGGGCAAUGGAGGCAACUCUGACCCAGCCAUGCCGCGUGCAGGAAGACGGCCCUAUGGGUUGUAAACUGCUUUUAUAUACCAAGAAACACAGAGACGUGUCUUUGUCUGACGGUAGUAUAUGAAUAAGGAUCGGCUAACUCCGUGCCAGCAGCCGCGGUAAUACGGAGGAUCCAAGCGUUAUCCGGAUUUAUUGGGUUUAAAGGGUGCGCAGGCGGUAUUAUAAGUCAGUGGUGAAAUCUUGAGGCUCAACCUCGAAACUGCCAUUGAUACUGUAGUACUAGAGUACAGACGAAGUAGGCGGAAUGUAGCAUGUAGCGGUGAAAUGCUUAGAUAUGCUACAGAACACCGAUCGCGAAGGCAGCUUACUAGACUGUUACUGACGCUAAUGCACGAAAGCGUGGGGAGCGAACAGGAUUAGAUACCCUGGUAGUCCACGCCGUAAACUAUGAUCACUCGAUGUUGGCGAUACACAGUCAGCGUCUAAGGGAAACCGAUAAGUGAUCCACCUGGGGAGUACGAUCGCAAGGUUGAAACUCAAAGGAAUUGACGGGGGCCCGCACAAGCGGAGGAGCAUGUGGUUUAAUUCGAUGAUACGCGAGGAACCUUACCUAGACUUAAAUGUAGAUUGCAUAGCUUAGAGAUAGGCUUUUCCUUCGGGACUAUUUACAAGGUGCUGCAUGGUUGUCGUCAGCUCGUGCCGUGAGGUGUCGGGUUAAGUCCCAUAACGAGCGCAACCCCUAUUCUUAGUUGCCAGCAUGUAAUGAUGGGGACUCUAGGAAAACUGCCAGCGUAAGCUG